rnacentral:rRNA from 1 species
AAAUUGAAGGGUUUGAUCCUGGCUCAGAAUGAACGUUGGCGGCGUGGAUUAGGCAUGCAAGUCGCGCGCGAUUUUACGGAUUGAAACUUCGGUCGAUUGAAGUAAAUGAAAGCGGCGAAAGGGAGAGUAACGCGUGGAUAUCUGCCCUUGGCUCCAGAAUAGCUACGGGAAACUGUAGGUAAUGCUGGAUAAUAUCUCCGGAUCAAAGGUGUGAUUCCGGCCGAGGAUGAGUCCGCGUCCUAUUAGAUUGUUGGUGGGGUAAUGGCCUACCAAGUCGAAGAUGGGUACCGGGUGUGAGAGCAUGGCCCGGCUCACUGGGACUGAGACACUGCCCAGACGUCUACGGACGGCUGCAGUCGAGAAUCUUCCGCAAUGGGCGCAAGCCUGACGGAGCGACGCCGCGUGCGGGAUGAAGGCCUUCGGGUUGUAAACCGCUGUCAGAGGGGAUGAAAUGCGGGUGGGUUCUCCCAUCCGUUUGACAUAGCCUCAGAGGAAGCACGGGCUAAGUUCGUGCCAGCAGCCGC